rnacentral:rRNA from 1 species
AUUGAACGCUGGCGGCAGGCCUAACACAUGCAAGUCGAACGAGUGGCGGACGGGUGAGUAAUGUCUGGGAAACUGCCUGAUGGAGGGGGAUAACUACUGGAAACGGUAGCUAAUACCGCAUACCAUCAGAUGGGCCCAGAUGGGAUGAGCUAGUUGGUGGGGUAACGGCGAACCAAGGCGACGAUCCCUAGCUGGUCUGAGAGGAUGACCGGCCACACUGGAACGGAGACACGGCCCAGACUCCUACGGGAGGCAGCAGUGGGGAAUAUUGCACAAUGGGCGCAAGCCUGAUGCAGCCAUGCCGCGUGAAUGAAGAAGGCCUUCGGGUUGUAAAGUACUUUCGGUAGGGAGGCGUUACCCGCAGAAGAAGCAACGGCUAACUCCGUGCCAGCCGCCGCGGUAAUUC